rnacentral:sRNA from 1 species
UGCCUGCCGGUCGCUGCGCCGCUCGCGCUGU